rnacentral:rRNA from 1 species
GGGAAGCGCCUACCGCAUGGUGGGUGUUGGAAGAUUUAUCGGUUUUGGAUGGACUCGCGGCCUAUCAGCUUGUUGGUGAGGUAAUGGGCUCACCAAGGCGACGACGGGUAGCCGGCCUGAGAGGGUGACCGGCCGACACUGGGACUGAGACACGGCCCAGACUCCUACGGGAGGCAGCAGUGGGGAAUAUUGCACAAUGGGCGCAAGCCUGAUGCAAGCGACGCCGCGUGAGGGAUGACGGCCUUCGGGUUGUAAACCUCUUUCAGUAGGGAAGAAGCGAAAGUGACGGUACCUGCAGAAGAAGCACCGGCUAACUACGUGCCAGCAGCCGCGGUAAUACGUAGGGUGCGAGCGUUAUCCGGAAUUAUUGGGCGUAAAGAGCUCGUAGGCGGUUUGUCGCGUCUGUCGUGAAAGUCCGGGGCUUAACCCCGGAUCUGCGGUGGGUACGGGCAGACUAGAGUGCAGUAGGGGAGACUGGAAUUCCUGGUGUAGCGGUGGAAUGCGCAGAUAUCCAGGAGGAACACCGAUGGCGGGUCGACGCGGCCG